rnacentral:rRNA from 1 species
CGCGGCUACCAUGCAGUCGAACGGUAACAGGAAACAGCUUGCUGUUUCGCUGACGAGUGGCGGACGGGUGAGUAAUGUCUGGGAAACUGCCUGAUGGAGGGGGAUAACUACUGGAAACGGUAGCUAAUACCGCAUAACGUCGCAAGACCAAAGAGGGGGACCUUCGGGCCUCUUGCCAUCGGAUGUGCCCAGAUGGGAUUAGCUAGUAGGUGGGGUAACGGCUCACCUAGGCGACGAUCCCUAGCUGGUCUGAGAGGAUGACCAGCCACACUGGAACUGAGACACGGUCCAGACUCCUACGGGAGGCAGCAGUGGGGAAUAUUGCACAAUGGGCGCAAGCCUGAUGCAGCCAUGCCGCGUGUAUGAAGAAGGCCUUCGGGUUGUAAAGUACUUUCAGCGGGGAGGAAGGGAGUAAAGUUAAUACCUUUGCUCAUUGACGUUACCCGCAGAAGAAGCACCGGCUAACUCCGUGCCAGCAGCCGCGGUAAUACGGAGGGUGCAAGCGUUAAUCGGAAUUACUGGGCGUAAAGCGCACGCAGGCGGUUUGUUAAGUCAGAUGUGAAAUCCCCGGGCUCAACCUGGGAACUGCAUCUGAUACUGGCAAGCUUGAGUCUCGUAGAGGGGGGUAGAAUUCCAGGUGUAGCGGUGAAAUGCGUAGAGAUCUGGAGGAAUACCGGUGGCGAAGGCGGCCCCCUGGACGAAGACUGACGCUCAGGUGCG